rnacentral:rRNA from 1 species
UACGUAGGGUGCAAGCGUUGUCCGGAAUUAUUGGGCGUAAAGAGCUCGUAGGCGGUCUGUCGCGUCGGCUGUGAAAACCCGGGGCUCAACCCCGGGCCUGCAUUCGAUACGGGCAGACUAGAGUUCGGUAGGGGAGACUGGAAUUCCUGGUGUAGCGGUGAAAUGCGUAGAUAUCAUGAGGAAGACCGGUGGCGAAGGCGGAUCUCUGGACAGUUCCUGACACUGAGGCACGAAGGCUAGGGGAGCAAACGGG